GCGCACUUCAGCAGCGCAUAUACGAAAAUUGAGAAGACACAGAGAAGAUUAGCAUGGCCCCUGUGCAAGGAUGACACGCAAAUUCCUGAAGCGUUCAUAUUUAAA